UUUUGAUUAGGGUUUCAACAUUAGUUCUAUUAUCCUGUUUGAUCAUCUCCAUCUUUUGGAAAGAAAUGAAGAGGACUGAUAAUUUGCAAGAUGCUUUAGAAAUGGUGGCCUGUCAGGACGACCCCCUGAUCCAUGAUGGUCUUGCGGAAGCAGACUAUCAAAACUGCCUCACAGAGGGAGCUGAGAAUGGAAGUGAGACGAGAGGACAAGCAGCUCCUGAACUCAGAAGUGGAUCUAGAGAUGUGUAGGACGCCAACAUUGAUCUCUCUCUGCUGAAGAGCAAAGAAUGAAUAAAGGAGCCGCAGAAUAUUAACAAACUUAAUUUUUUUCAAUUAUUGUACAUGUCAGGGAAGAAGAAGAUGCAGAAGACAAAAAAAAGUUUACAGUAAAGCAAAUCAUUGGUGCUGAUCCCUAAAAGGAGCAGAUAAAGUACAAGAAAACUUACGAGAAUUUCAUUUUGUCAAAGUCAGGUAGAUUUAAAUUUGCAUUUACUCAACUUAUUAAAGGCUUGUUCCAUUUUUAUCGCCUUCACUUAAAACAAAUUUGGUUGUUAAUUGUUCAUCAUUACUCAACAUCAACCCGCAGAUAAAUGUAAACUCCUCUAUGGUACAUUUGUAACUUUAGAAUAUUAUGCUCUACUUCCGC